CAAGACCUCCCCCUCCCGUGUGGACAACCCACGCCUCCAGUGCCUGUCUGCCAUCAUGUUUGCAUCUGAGGCAGGUCUGCAGCCCAUCUGCCAGGAGGAGGUGCAUGCAAUUUUCCCUCAGCUGUUCCUGGCACUGCUUUUCCAAGUGACAUUCACCACGGAGCUGAGGCCUGAUGAGGUGCUGAUGUGGUGGGGGAAGCAACAUCAGCAUCUCUCUCCUGUCAGGGCUGCAGUGCAGUCCAUGAGAGUGCUGCUCUGCAGAAUGGGCUUUCGGAGCCAGGUGUUUGCCAUCGAGGCACAAGGUGGCUGGGAUGCCCUGCUCAGUGCCCCUACCCACCUCGCAGGAGUGCGCACUGUGGCCAGGGAGAUGAUGGUAAUGCCAAGGUUCCUGCGCUCCUCCUUCUUCUGCCA